rnacentral:lncRNA from 1 species
UUAUGAAAAUAAUAAUUAAACCAUGGAACUUUUUUUUUAAAGAUAGGAAGAUUCUAUAAUUUACUUGAGCACGAUGUGUAUCAUUACUUUUUCAAACAGGUGUUUUGCACAUAUAUUAAUUACAAAGUUUAAUACCAGAAGACAAAUAAUAAAAAGACAAACUUGGAAGACAGGAAUUGAAUACCCAUACGAGUUUGUUCUUAAACUAAUUAAGUCACAUGUAUAUAUACCUUUUAUGAAUAUAUAUGAUUUUCUAACUAAAGACUUGUUCUUAUAUGCAUAUAUUUCUCUACAAUUUAUACAAUAGAGUAAGAAAGAUAGAAGAAUAGAUGUAUUUUCCACUACUUACUUUCACCAUAGUUUAUUACUAGUUUUCCUUCAUAUCAAUAAAUGUGUAAAUUGAUACUCUUAGAUAGUAUGUGUGCCAAGGAUAGUGAUUAACUCUCUAUUAUGGAAUACAGGCCAUUAAAAGACAAGGUUGUCUAUUACACUGGAAUAACAUAAUGUUGUUGGUACAUGAGCUGUCACACUGACCACAAGGCUGAUAUCACUAUAUUAUUAUUGGCGACUAUCACAGUGGAGAUAGCUGUAUGUAUAUGUACAUUACCUUGUAAAAAUAUUUGUACACUUACGUACGUGUACGUGUAAUAUUUGUACGUGUUAUAUAAAACAUCUUGAAAUAAGAUUGGGUAGGCUGAAUAAUAUUUUCUGUUUAAUUAAUAAAAGAUGUAUGAUAUAUGUCAUAUGUGAAUAAUAUUGUAAAGUAAAACAAAGAUAGUUCAGACUAGAUGAAUUUUAUUGUUAAACACAAAUUCACAAAAAGCCAAUGCUGCUCUAAAUUCAAUUAAAUGCUAGUAAGAUAAUUAUGGUAGAAAAUAAAAUGAUUAAAACUGAAGAAAUAUUGAAUGAUCCGAUAUAUAAUUCGAGGGAAUUUACAUAAGUAUUUGUUAAUUUAAAAGUGAGUUUAAGUGCGCCUAUAAUUACAAAGUAAUCAUAUUUUAUGUUGAGCACUUGUACUUAACUAACGCUAAUGGGCAAUUGCUUUUGUAAAUUGCUUGCUUUGCAAACAAAUUAUUGCAGAAUUUACAUAUUCAAAGAUUUAAAGAUAUUAGAAUAGUAUAAUGUACACAUUUAUUAAAAAUUCAUGUUAAUAGCUAUAUAGUACAUUGAGUAAAAAAUAUACAAUUAAUAAGAUAGUAAAAAUAAUUAAUAGCGAUUCGAAUAAGAGUUUGUUUGUGAUUUCACAAUUUUUUACGAAAUUAUAGGUAAUUAAUUAAUGCAAAAACACUACCAUCUAUUUUUGGCUUCAAGGCCGGUUACGUGGAAACUAUUCUCAAAGAAAAAUAUUUCAGGCAUAAUAAAACAAUGGACACACCAAUAUUUAACUAGUACUGAUUAUUUACAGAUUUAUUUUACGAAUUUCGAAAUUUCGAUCUUACACACUUUUAAGAAACAAUAACAAUAUCAGAGUGUAAGACAGAAACAAUAACAAUUGCGAAUCAAGAGUAUUAAAAUUUGGCCCAUUUACAUAACCGGUAUUGCAAGUAAAAAUAAUUACAUAUGCAUAUAUGCAUUCUCAAAAGAAUUAAAAUUACGCAGUAAAAUAAUGUAAUAAAAUAAGACUUUUAUUGAAGACCCAAUGAAAAGUAAGAUUUUAUGCAAAUGUUUGAUAUUUUGAUAUUUUUUUCUUUCUUUAAUAUCUCAGUGGAAAAUCCUAAUGUGUUACGGUUACAUUAAUAUACCAAGAUCGCGACGUUUAAAGUUUGAAUUCUAAAAAAGAUUAUUAUUUAGGUUCGUUUAAUAUUUGCGUUGAUAUGGAUAUUUCCUUGUUGUGUACCAGGGUUUUAGGAACCUCUAAUCCUCGCACCUAAUACACUGGUCUAAGAUUCUAGAUUGAGACUGUUCUUUAUGAAGAGCACUUAUGCAUCUCUUAAAUUUUUUAAGGAACAAGUUUCACCAUUGGUCUUAUGAGGUCCAAUAAUUUGCUAUUUUUUCAUUGUUCUUUUUUUUGUUUUUACUAAUCUAAAACA